rnacentral:lncRNA from 1 species
UGGGGGGUGGUGGCGGGGGCGGGGGGUGGGGAGCGAGCAUUAAUCAAAACAUCGAAGUGAGCCCCACCAUGCCUACGUGUACAAAUAGCUGUUGAUGGCUUUGCCAUGCUUACUGAACUGAGUAAGUCUAAAAGCCUUCCGUGUGCAUUCCUAUUUUCGGGCGCAAUACAGUACGUUAACCUCAGAAUAUCAAAUUGAAUCAGGGGUUCUGAGAAGAGCCGCCUGCAAAGCGGUUAGAAUGACACUCCUCAUUACACCGUCCAGAUUCAGGUUUCAGACAACCAUAACCAGCCUUUGCCGGCUUCUCACCUACAGGCAGACCCAGGCAGCCCCAAAUCAGAGCCUGCCCUCCGGCAAGGGCUCCCGGACCUCUUCACAGGUGAAGUCCACCGAGACCCGGAAAGCUGCUGAGGUACAGGGGUGUGCCCAGGACUCCCUGUAACUGGCAGCCACAGUGAAGUCAACACGGAGAGAGCUGGACCACAGGUAGACAUCCAGUACCGGGGACCUGUGUGAGCCCCUGAUCCAGCCUUGCCUGAAACCAAUGAUCCCUGGAACCCUGUUGAUUAAUAAACCAGUAAAUGCCUCCA